rnacentral:rRNA from 1 species
GUCGAACGGACUUAAUCGAUUCUUUUAGAUUCGAAGCGGUUAGUGGCGGACUGGUGAGUAACACGUAAGCAACCUGCCUAUUAGAGGGGAAUAACAGUGAGAAAUCACUGCUAAAACCGCAUAUGCCGUGAACAUCGCAUGAUGAAAACGGGAAAAGAGCAAUCUGCUAAUAGAUGGGCUUGCAUCUGAUUAGCUAGUUGGUGUGGUAAAGGCAUACCAAGGCAACGAUCAGUAGCCGGACUGAGAGGUUGAACGGCCACAUUGGGACUGAGAUACGGCCCAGACUCCUACGGGAGGCAGCAGUCGGGAAUAUUGCGCAAUGGAGGAAACUCUGACGCAGUGACGCCGCGUAUGGGAAGAAGGUUUUCGGAUUGUAAACCAUUUUAGACAAGGAAGAAACAAGACAGUACUUGUAGAAUAAGCUCCGGCUAACUACGUGCCAGCAGCCGCGGUAAUACGUAGGGAGCAAGCGUUAUCCGGAUUUAUUGGGUGUAAAGGGUGCGUAGACGGGAAGGUAAGUUAGUUGUGAAAUCCCUCGGCUCAACUGAGGAACUGCGACUAAAACUGCUUUUCUUGAGUGCUGGAGAGGAAAGUGGAAUUCCUAGUGUAGCGGUGAAAUGCGUAGAUAUUAGGAGGAACACCAGUGGCGAAGGCGACUUUCUGGACAGUAACUGACGUUGAGGCACGAAAGUGUGGGGAGCAAACAGGAUUA